rnacentral:ncRNA from 1 species
GAACCGUUGAUUCGCACAAUUGGUCAUCGUGCUUGGUUGAAAAGCCAGUGGCGCGAAGCUACCAUGUGCUGGAUUAUGACUGAACGCCUCUAAGUCAGAAUCCGGGCUGGAAGCGACNCCGCCGUCCGCUUGCCGACCCGCAGUAGGGGCCUUUGGCCCCCAAGGGCACGUGUCGUUGGCUAAGUCAUCGCGGCGGAAGAGCCGCGGUGGCCGCCUUGAAGUACAAUUUCCAUCGAGCGGCGGGUAAAAUCCUUUGCAGACGACUUAAAUACGCGAUGGAGUAUUGUAAGUGGCAGAGCGGCCUUGCUGCCACGAUCCACUGAGAUUCAGCCCUUUGUCGCUCCAAUUCGU